CCUACGGGAGGCAGCAGUGGGGAAUAUUGCGCAAUGGGCGAAAGCCUGACGCAGCGACGCCGCGUGAGGGAUGAAGGUCUUCGGAUCGUAAACCUCUGUCAGCAGGGAAGAAAGGUCACUGUGCUAAUCAGCAGUGAAUUGACGGUACCUGCAAAGGAAGCACCGGCUAACUCCGGGCCAGCAGCCGCGGUAAUCCGGCGGGUUCGUGCGUUAAUCGGAAUUACUGGGCUUAAAGCGCUCGUAGGCGGUAGGUCAAGGCAAGGGUGAAAACCCCGCGCCCAACGGGGGAACUGGCGUUGAAACUGGCAACCGGGAGUGUGUGAGAGGAUAGUGGAAUUCCAGGUGUAGGAGGGAAAUCCGUAGAUAUCUGGAGGAACAUCAGUGGCGAAGGCGACUAUCUGGCACAUAACUGACGCUGAGGAGCGAAAGCGUGGGUAGCAAACAGGAUUAGAUACCCGAGUAGUC
rnacentral:rRNA from 1 species